GAGGUUGGCCUGCGGACGUUUCGCUCGCCAACCGGGUCAGAGCCGGAAGGAAGCAGCCCUAACGAGACCGUAAUGGGUUGCUCGUCCAGCCUCUCA
rnacentral:SRP_RNA from 1 species